rnacentral:rRNA from 1 species
CCUACGGGUGGCAGCAGUGGGGGAUAUUGGACAAUGGGGGGAACCCUGAUCCAGCGACGCCGCGUGCGUGAAGAAGGCUCUCGGUAUGUAAAGCUCUGUCAGCAGGGAAGAAAGAAAUGACGGUACCUGACCAAGCAGCCUCGGCUAACUACGUGCCAGCCGCCGCGGUAAUACGUAGGGGGCACGAGUUAUCCGGAAUUACUGGGUGUAAAGGGAGCGUAGACGGCUGUGCAAGUCUGGAGUGAAAGGCGGGGGCCCAACCCCCGGACUGCAGUUGAAACUGGAGGUCUGGAGUGCAGGAGAGGUAAGCGGAAUUCCUGGUGUAGCGGUGAAAUGCGUAGAUAUCAGGAGGAACACCAGUGGCGAAGGCGGCUUACUGGACUGUAACUGACGUUGAGGCUCGAAAGCGUGGGGAUCAAACAGGAUUAGAUACCCCUGUAGUC